AGAGAGUGGGAGACAGAGAGAGAGCGAGACAGAGAGAGAGCGAGACAGAGAGAGAGCGAGAGAGAGAGAGAGCGAGACAGAGAGAGUACGAGACAGAGGGAGUGCGAGACAGAGAGAGUACGAGACAGAGAGAGAGCGAGAGAGCGAGACAGAGAGAGUACGAGACAGAGGGAGUGCGAGACAGAGAGAGUGCGAGACAGAGAGAGUGCGAGACAGAGAGAAGGAGAGACAGAGGGAGUGCGAGACAGAGAGAGUGCGAGACAGAGAGAGAGCGAGACAGAGAGAUAGCGAGACAGAGGGAGUGCGAGACAGAGGGAGUGCGAGACAGAGAGAGAG
ensembl:lncRNA